GGAAUUCUCCCCAGUAGACAGUCCCGUCGGGUUGUAGCGGAAUUCUCCCCGAUAGAAAGGGAUUUGGAUGGUGAGUUAGGGUUAAUCAUGAGUUAACCGAGAGGAUUGGGUAAAGGCAAAGGUAAAAGUGAAAUGAAUGCAUCAUGAGCAUAUUACUUCUUGUUCAGUUCUUGUACAGACAUUGUAGUAGCAUUAGUAUGGUUUUUCAUCUAUCUCUUCUUUUCCUACAUAUGCCUGAAUAGACCUAGCGGGUGAGUCGUCGGGGUCGGCGGCCGAACCCACUAGGAACUUUCAUUAGUUCUCACACCACUAACCUUACAGAUCCUAGCGCGAGCGGGGCGGUCGAAGAUCGCGGCAAAGGCAUCGCGCCCUAGAUAGUGGCUUCUUGAGUAUAGCUUGUACCCUAUUUACUUUCAUCUUUUGUAUACGAUGAAAAACGUGAUGUAAAUGGACAUAUAUAAAUAAUGUAAAUGGAUAGGUGGUAUAUGCUUUUGAUGAAGGGCAUGUGAUGUAUUUGGAAAAAGAAUGUAAUAUGUGGAUAAGUUGAAUUUGGUUAAAUGUAAUCAAGAUAUAUGUGUGGAUGUAAUAGUAGUAGUACUUUCACUUGCUUGGUGGUUGCUUGUCUUCGUGUAAGUCAUGUAUAUCUGAAUUCUAUUUGUAUAAAUUGCUAUACAUGUUGUGUGAAGCCUUGGGCGGAUAGAGGAGGUUCUGUCCGUUCGACGUCUGUGGACGUACCCGAACCGACCAAAUUGACGGCCGCGGGGCGUGACAGAUAUAGUGGUAUCACAGCGUGAAAGUGAAGGUAUAUGAU
rnacentral:lncRNA from 1 species